AUUGAACGCUGGCGGCAGGCCUAACACAUGCAAGUCGAGCGAGCGGCGGACGGGUGAGUAAUGUAUGGGGACUGCCCGAUAGAGGGGGAUAACUACUGGAAACGGUAGCUAAUACCGCAUACUAUCUGCUACCCCCUAUGGGAUUAGCUAGUAGGUGAGGUAAUGGCUCACCUAGGCGACGAUCCCUCGCUGGUCUGAUAGGAUGAUCAGCCACACUGGGACUGAGAAACGGCCAAGACUCCUACGGAGGCAGCAGUGGGGAAUAUUGCACAAUGGGCGCAAGCCUGAUGCAGCCAUGCCGCGUGUAUGAAGAAGGCCCUAGGGUUGUAAAGUACUUUCAGUCGGGAGGCGUUACCGACAGAAGAAGCACCGGCUAACUCCGUGCCAGCAGCCGCGGUAAUUC
rnacentral:rRNA from 1 species